rnacentral:lncRNA from 1 species
UCUCAGCCUCUGAGCAUAAAGCUAAUUUUUGUAAUCUUUGCAGUGUUUUCAGAGUGCAAAAGUGUUCAGGGACAGAGAAUUUAAGUUCACUAGGACGGGAGCUCUUGUCUUUUAGUUACAGUCGAACAGUUUAACCUGGAAGAUAACAGUUCACCUCUACAUCCUGUUUUCAGUAGUGUUCUAUGAUUGACGAGCUUACAGUAAAACAGGAAUAAGACACAUGAGAAAUAUAUUCAAAGUCAUACACAGAGGUGGGGAGAGGGUGGGAAUUUUCCAGUGAUUACACCCUGGCCCAUGAGACUUAAUUAUCCAAAACGGUCUGAUAAGUAAUGUAAUUUGUUUGCAUAGCGAACUCCCCUGAUGAGUUCUGGGGAGGUACGUGGCUUUCUUUCCACUUUAGGGAGUUUCUCUAAUAAUUUUCUUCCAAAGGUGAAUAACGUCAUAUUUCCCUAAAUGCAGCUGGCUCUGAGAAUCAAACUCUGUAUUCAACAAGUGAACUUUCAAUCUCAAAUGACUUGAUAGAUGCUUCAGCCACAGGAAUUUCUUGCUCCUUUCCAGUACAUGUCUUCUGCAUGUUGCUAGCUUGCUCUUCAACUUAGGUCAUAGUAUCCUUAAAGUACAGCUUUUUCAAAGUAAACCCAUUCAGACAUAACUCAUUCCAUACUUUAUCUGGGUAAAUCUCUAGUUUAUAGGAGAAGACAAAAAUAUGAAAACCAUUAAUGUAAAGAGAGAAAGCUCAUUUCAGCAUCGUGUCCAUUUUCUCUAGAAAUCAUUUGGAUUGUGAUUUAAUUUUUUUGUUCUUUUUUAUUGUUCCAUCAAACUGUAGUGUUCAUGGAUAGUACUGUAGACUAUCAGCUGUUCUGUAUACAAGAAUAUAUCAUCAGGUGACAACUGCCAAGUCUACAGGCUACUUAAUGUGAUCUCUUUUGUAAAGAGCAGGCAUCAGCCAUUUUAAUGCCCAAACCGCAGCUAUACAAGGCAUCAAAAUAUUGAGAUAAGGUUGUUGAAGAUCACUGCCUUGGGCUGGAACCCCUGGAAUCCUCUCUGUUUUGCACUUGAGGUAUGUCUGAAUCUAUUUUUGGAUCUAGUUAAUUGUAUGCAUCCUUUUUUUUGUUGUUGUUAUUUUUGCUGCAUAGGAUAUCAGUAAUAUGUCUGUUUGAGACUUGGAGAAAAGAAGGACCAACUGUUUGUUAGUGGAAGUGAUAUGUCCUGCAAAUAAAAGGCAAAAUGAGAUGAACUGAGCACCUGUGCAAACCGGAGCAGUGAUUGCAACAGCAUGCAGUUAUACGAUGUGUACCUGGCGCUGUACUGCACGGAUGUCAGCCUUAAAAUACCAACACCAAGGUCCUAAUUAAAACAUGCACGUUGUUUGGCAACCAGUAGCAUUUGAAAUCAAGGAUUCACAGGAUCAGGCUUUUCUCUCAGAUCUUGUCUCCUCUGCAUUCCAAGUGUACGUUAAAGGCGUAUGUGUGCUAUUUGAUUUCUGAACAUACUCACUUUUUUUUAAUAUGUAUUAUACCUAAUAUCUCCAGAGGAGUUUGUGUUCAAAUCAUCAUCAAAAAUUCUGUUUUUCUAGGAACUGAUUGAUUACUUUUGGAUGAGAUUUGGACAUUGAUUGAAAGAGCAGAAGAAGAAGCAGAAGAAGAGUAGUAUCACCUUCUGAGGAAUGCACUAAAUGUGUACUCCAUGCUUUAACAACAAUGAUGCCAACCUAAAAUUGAUGAGCAGAUCUAUGAAGAAAAGCCUAGAAAAGAAUAGCACAGGGAACGCAGGCCCAUCUGGAAGGCUGUAAUGCCUCGUGUUUUCCAUCCUGGCUGCUGGUGCUGGUGAUACCAUCAGUGUGAAUUUCAGAUCAGCAGAUAUAAUUGAUGAUGGACUGAAAAUCAGCAUCUACAUAUCAAGACCCAGGAGCGAUACAUUAUGCAUCAAGUUCGCACCAAGGGAUGUUGAAAUAAUGCCUGAGGUACUAUAAAGUAGUCUGAAGGAGAAAUACAAAGCCUUGAAAUCAAGCAUGUAAAUAGAGAUUAUUGUCAUUGAUACUGUUUGAUAGGUUCAAAUUGAUACAGCCUAACACUCCUUAGAGUUCUUCUGCUAAAAUUACUGAAGAAAAUAUUAUGCAUUAGCUCUUGUUUUAUUGCUGUUACUAUGCUCUUUAAAACCACUUCAGUUCACUUUAUUGGAGGCAAAGAGGAUAUAAUUGCUGCAAUGACUAAACUUGUAACUUUAAUAAUUUUCUGGGAAAUGAAUGUGUAAAAAUCAUUGACAAGGAUUAUUUAAUCAAGUACAGGAAUGCUGAAAGUACAUAACAGAAGAGCAGAAAUAUGGCUGUAUAGGCUGUGAAAGCUACUUUGAGGCAGUAGCUUUGCUGCUUCUGCUCUUCUGGGUAACUUCAGCAUUUCAUGAUUAAAACCAUAUGAAGCUUUGGUUCUGGAAUUCAAGAAAUAGGAUGAUUUUAUACAUUAAAAAGGAGUUGUUCUGUACGGUAACCACUUUAUUUCUGAGAUCACUAAUGUGUGACAGAAUUGGAGCACGCAUCGGAUUUGCCUGUGAAACUUGAUUAAGUUGGGUUUAAGUUGGGUGGUGGAAGGUCUGACAGUAACUGCUGCUUUAGGAGCGCACAUCUUACAAUCUGCUAAGUAUGUAGAAAAAAAAUGUCAUUGGCAGAAGUAAAUCCUCACUAUGGUUGUAUUCUACACAAGGGCCAUAAAACUGUAUGCUGUAAAGUGCAGUACAGUAAGGAAACAACUGUCAUUCUAAAAAUUGAUGUUGGAUGUGUUUCCUACUUCAUUAAUGGGAGUCCAGUCUUAUUUCAUCCUAUGCAAUCAUGUAGACAGGGGCCAGGAAGAAAUGUAUGGGUAGUUUUUUUUUUGUUUUUUUUUUGUUUUUUCAGUGAGAUAAAAGGGCAACAGACUGGAUAGAAAAUUUCUCAGAACAAGCAAGUUAAUUCAAGUUCUUUUUAG